GGUCCAAUAGUGUAGAGGUUAUCACAUAGGAUUCUGAUCUGUGUUACCCACGAAUGUGAUUCCUAUGACCCAGGUUCGAGUCCUGGUUGGACCU